UUACAGAAUUCCUUGUACAAACAAUUGUUAAAGCAUGUGUCUGAAAUGUCAGGUGUUACAGAAUUCCUUGAACAAACAAUUGUUAAAGCAUGUGUCUGAAAUGUCAGGUGUUACAGAAUUCCUUGAACAAACAAUUGUUAAAGCAUGUGUCUGAAAUGUCAGGUGUUACAGAAUUCCUUGUACAAACAAUUGUUAAAGCAUGUGUCUGAAAUGUCAGGUGUUA